rnacentral:rRNA from 1 species
CAGCAGCCGCGGGAAAACGAAGGGUGCAAGCGUUACUCGGAAUUACUGGGCGUAAAGCGUGCGUAGGUGGUGGUUUAAGUCGUUGUGAAAGCCCUGGGCUCAACCUGGGAAUUGCAGUGGAUACUGGAUCACUAGAGUGUGGUAGAGGACAGUGGAAUUUCCGGUGUAGCAGUGAAAUGCGUAGAGAUCGGAAGGAACAUCUGUGGCGAAGGCGACUAUCUGGGCCAACACUGACACUGAGGCACGAAAGCGUGGAGAGCAAACAGGAUUAGAUACCCGAGUAGUCCCUGUCUCUUAUACA